rnacentral:rRNA from 1 species
GAGGCAGCAGUUUCGAAUUAUUCACAAUGGGCGAAAGCCUGAUGCGUGUCGACGCCGCGUGAGGGAUGAAGGUCUUCGGAUCGUAAACCUCUGUCACCGGGGAAGAAUGGCCAUGACCUAACACGUCAUGGAUUGACUUAACCCGGAGAGGAAGCAGUGGCUAACUCUGUGCCAGCAGCCGCGGUAAUACAGAGACUGCAAGCGUUAUUCGGAUUCACUGGGCGUAAAGGGUGCGCAGGCGGUUAUGUGUGUUAGAUGUGAAAGCCCGAGGCUCAACCUCGGAAUUGCGUCUAAAACUACAUGACUAGAGUACCGGAGAGGAUAGCGGAAUUCACGGUGUAGCAGUGAAAUGCGUAGAUAUCGUGAAGAACACCAGCGGCGAAGGCGGCUAUCUGGAAGGUAACUGACGCUCAGGCACGAAAGCGUGGGGAGCAAAAGGGAUUAGAUACCCCUGUAGUCCACGCCUAACGGUGGAGCUAGGUGUGGCAAAUUCGACCCGUCACGCAAGCUAACCUUACAGUGCCUUGACAUGCAUUGGACCGUCGCUGAAAGGCGACUUUCCCGCAAGGGACCGAUGCACAGGUGCUGCAUGGCUGUCGUCAGCUCGUGUCGUGAGAUGUUGCCUUAAGUGGCGCAACGAGCGCAACCCCUGUCCUUAGUUGCCAUCAUUCAGUUGGGCACUCUAAGGAGACAAACCUCUUUUAGAGGUGGGAAGGUGGGGAUGACGUCAAGUCAGGAUGGCCCUUACGGCCUGGGCUGCACACGUGCUACAAUGCUCGGUACAGAGGGAAGCAAGACCGCGAGGUGGAGCGAAUCCUCAAAGCCGAGCCCAGUUCAGAUUGGAGUCUGCAACUCGACUCCAUGAAGCCGGAAUCGCUAGUAAUGGCGCAUCAGCUACGGCGCCGUGAAUACGUUCCCGGGCCUUGUACACACCGCAAUACCAUAUG